UGAGGAAUUUUCUGCACUGGGCGAAAGCCUGAACAGAGCAAUACCGCGUGAGGGAUGAAGACUUACUGAGUUGUAAACCUCGGUACCUUAAGGAAGAAGAUCUGACGGUACUUAAGGUGGAAAGCAUCGGCUAACUCCGUGC
rnacentral:rRNA from 1 species